rnacentral:misc_RNA from 1 species
UAGGGACUUAGGAUAAAUAAAAACCAAGGACUUUCAAAGUCUAAAUAAGAGCAUACCUCUUAGCCCCUGACUAAAACCUAUAGAACUAAUCUACAUCUCCUGAUUGCAAAUCAGACGCUUUAAUUAAACUAAGGCCUCCCGGGGAUGGAAGGCUUCGAUCCCACAUUACAUUAGUUAACAGCUAACACGCUAACCAACAAGCAUCAACCCCAAGGAUUAAGGGCUAUCAAACCCACUAUUUGAUUUGCAAUCAAACAUCUUUUAAACUCUAU